CUUCUUCGGGGAUGGGUGCAAUUCCCUACCGGCGGUUCAGCCCGCGAACCGAUCCCUCCCGGGAUCGGCCGAUCCGGUUUCAUUCCGGAGCCGACAGUCACAGUCUGGAUGAGAGAAGAG
rnacentral:ncRNA from 1 species